rnacentral:misc_RNA from 1 species
GCAGCACGCAAGCACUCGUCAGGGGCGUAGGCAUAUGCCCACACAACUGAAAGGACACAGGCGCCGAGAGUCGGCCGCACAAGGGCGGGGGGCCUCCCGACAGUCACAGGUCCAACACAUCUCAUGUGCCAGCGUAGCGCGACGACCAAGCAAUCCAAAGCAUCUCGCCGCGCUAGGCACAGCGAGUCUACUUGUGAGGAGAGCAGCCGAAGGUCCACGGAGCACGGGAACAAACGAUAUCAAGCGACACAAUGAGCCCACAAACAUCCAACCGCCCAGCGGCCAGGGAGAUCUUCGUAGCCAGGACCCCGAAAAACUGCUACAAAACCACGCCAAAGCAUGGCCAAGACACGAUUUCCUUGGUACCCAGCCAGCCACACCCCCGCAGCCACAGACCGGCCUGCCACGGCCGACUAGCCAGGACCUUGGAAAACUGCUGAAAGCCACGCCUAUGGCACGGCCGACACACGAUUUCCUUGGUAACCCAGCCAGCCAGCCACACCGCCGCAGCCACAGACCGGCCGGACCUCGGCCGGCUAGCGGCCAUGGUCCGACCGCCCCGCGGCCAGAGGGAUGCGCUUAGCUAGGACACUGGAAAACUGCUGCAAAACCAUAGCAAAGCAUGGCCGAAACGUGAUUUCCUUGUGCCCAGCCAGCCACACCGGCUCCCCCUACUAUACCCGAGACGCCCUCAGCCCCCCCAGGAGUUCUGCAGAUUUUUUGUUCAAUCAGCGCACAAAACGG